AAGUCGUAACAAGGUUUCCGUAGGUGAACCUGCGGAAGGAUCAUUAUCGAAAAAGAUAAAGAAAAACAUUUAAUCGUGUUUCUCUUUAAUAUUCUUUUUAUCUUGUCCACUGUGUGAACUUUUUUCUAUCGGGCGGCCAAGGGUAUUUAGUUGCCCAGCCGGUCGAGACGUAGAGUUUAUUCUCUCGUCGAAUUACCCUUUUUUUAAAAUUCAAAUGUCGUUAACAUGAAUGUGUGAUAUAUAAAAAUCAAUUAAAACUUUCAGUGACGGAUCUCUUGGCUCUC
rnacentral:misc_RNA from 1 species